rnacentral:rRNA from 1 species
CCUACGGGAGGCAGCAGUGAGGAAUAUUGGUCAAUGGCCGGAAGGCUGAACCAGCCAUGCCGCGUGAAGGUCAGUGCCCUAUGGGCGUUAAACUUCUUUUGUGCGGGAGCAAUAAUGGUCACGUGUGGCCAGACGAGAGUACCGUACGAAUAAGCAUCGGCUAACUCCGUGCCAGCAGCCGCGGUAAUUCGGGGGAUGCAAGCGUUAUCCGGGUUUAUUGGGUUUAAAGGGUGCGUAGGCUGGGAGGUAAGUCAGCGGGGAAAUGCCCCCGCUCAACGGGGUGAAGUGCCAUUGAUACUGGCUGGCUGGAAGGCGGAUGAGGUGGGAGGAAUGUGUGGUGUAGCGGUGAAAUGCAUAGAUAUCACACAGAACGCCGAUUGCGAAGGCAUCUCACGAAUCCGCGAUUGACGCUGAUGCACGAAAGCGUGGGUAUCAAACAGGAUUAGAUACCUGGGUAGUC